AACCUAUCGUAAAGCUAGCUGGCAUUCAAAACCCGUUUCAGAGGGUCUUAGAAAGACGGGCUAAUUGUAUGGUAUAAAACAAGGGAACUAUUUUCUCUUGAUAGCAUCAUUGUUUUCAUAGAAUUAACGACCGGCGGUUUUUGCUUUGCAACGGUAAAGCCGCUACACUCUCAUUCGUGGGCUCUCAUUAUGUUCCACUCGGGAGCGGCUGAGUCACGUGCGACGCCUAGUGGUAAAAUUCGGUAUUACCGGUCCGGUCCGCUAUUUGGUUUAAUAGCAAACCGGUUUGAUCAUUUUUACAUCGGCCCAACCCUACAAGUAGCUAAUCCAGUGCUCCACACUCUUCCGUAUGAUCCUCUUGUUUUUGCUCCUUCACUCCUACCAGUCCUACCAAUCCUACGCUGAGGGCUGUGAUGUUCCAGUGGAAAAAGGCGAGUCUCCUCUUCAUCCACUACCAAUCACAGUCCUCUGCUUGGUCUUUCUGCAGAGCCCACAAGGAUGCAGAAGGCAGCUGUGAUGAACACAAUGCACCUAGUAAUCGUGUGCACCCCCAGCCUCUGUGAGCCUGGGCGCUUAAAAGGCGGUCUACGGAGGCAGACGAGGGCUUACUGGAGACGGAGGAAGUGCUGACUGAGAGUCUGUUGCCCAAAUUGUGUUUUGUAUGAAACCGAAAGCCGUGUGGCGGCCGUGAAAAUAAAAGACACAUCUGCGUCCUGAAAUAAAUCUCG